rnacentral:rRNA from 1 species
GGCUACCGGCUCAGGCUGGUAAGCGCCUGCCAGAGGACCCCAAACUCUGAAUAUUAGUGUUGUCUGAGUACUAUAAAAUAGUUAAAACUUUCAACAACGGAUCUCUUGGUUCUGGCAUCGAUGAAGAACGCAGCGAAAUGCGAUAAGUAAUGUGAAUUGCAGAAUUCAGUGAAUCAUCGAAUCUUUGAACGCACAUUGCGCCCCUUGGUAUUCCGAGGGGCAUGCCUGUUCGAGCGUCAUUACAACCCUCAAGCACUGCUUGGUAUUGGGCCCCGCUGGUUUCAGCGGGCCUUAAAAUCAGUGGCAGCGCCGUCUGAGCUCUGAGCGUAGUAAAUAUCCUCGCUAUAGAGACCAGGUGGUUCUUGUCAUCAACCCCCAACUUUCUAAGUUUGACCUCGGAUCAGGUAGGGAUACCCGCUGAACUUAAGCAUAUCAAUAAGCGGAGGA